CACGUAGGGUGCGAGCGUUGUCCGGAAUUAUUGGGCGUAAAGAGCUCGUAGGCGGUGUGUCGCGUCGGCCGUGAAAACUUGGGGCUUAACUCUGAGCGUGCGGUCGAUACGGGCAUCACUUGAGUUCGGCAGGGGAGACUGGAAUUCCUGGUGUAGCGGUGAAAUGCGCAGAUAUCAGGAGGAACACCGGUGGCGAAGGCGCCACUCUGGGCCGGUACUGACGCUGAGGAGCGAAAGCGUGGGUAGCAAACAGG
rnacentral:rRNA from 1 species